UGUUGGUUAACCCCCUCCUCUACUAC
rnacentral:tRNA from 3 species